UGAGGAAUAUUGGGCAAUGCCCGAAAGGGUGACCCAGCAACGCCGCGUGGAGGAUGAAGGUCGUAAGAUUGUAAACUCCUGUUAGAGGGGAAGAAUAACUAAGUUUGGAGCUUAGUAUGACUGUACCCUCAGAGAAAGCCCCGGCUAACUACGUGCCAGCAGCCGCGGUAAUACGUAGGGGGCAAGCGUUGUCCGGAUUUACUGGGUGUAAAGGGCGCGCAGGCGGAAUGGAAAGUCAGUGGUGAAAUCCUACAGCUUAACUGUAGAACUGCCUCUGAUACUUUCAUUCUUGAGUUCGGGAGAGAGAGACUGAAUUCCAGGUGUAGUGGUGAAAUACGUAGAUAUCUGGAAGAACACCAGUUGCGAAGGCGGUCUCUUGGUCCGAUACUGACGCUGAGGCGCGAAAGCGUGGGGAGCAAACA
rnacentral:rRNA from 1 species